UACGUAGGUGGCAAGCGUUGUCCGGAUUUACUGGGCGUAAAGAGCGCGCAGGCGGUCGUUCAAGUCGCGUGUGAAAGCCCCCGGCUCAACUGGGGAGGGUCACGCGAUACUGAUCGACUCGAAGGCAGGAGAGGGUAGUGGAAUUCCCGGUGUAGUGGUGAAAUGCGUAGAUAUCGAGAGGAACACCAAUGGCGAAGGCAGCUCGCUGGAACGGUACUGACGCUGAGGCGCGAAAGCGUGGGGAGCGAACGGG
rnacentral:rRNA from 1 species